GGAGCCGCAUUGUGCCCGAGGUAGGCCUAACGACAAGUUGAUUUGGAGAACUUAUAAUGCUAAAUGCCUCAUUUUAUUGAUAAAAAUAAUACGAAUCCCAAAACGACACUAAAAAUAGCAGAAAAUAAAAUGUCACUAAUGGUCAUUGGCCUUAUUACAUUCUUAAAGCAAAAGAAAAGACUCCUAGCUACUUGGUACCAGAAGGACCUUCUUCAGGUUGAAUGUUUUCAUUGAUCAGAUCCUCCAGCUCGCGCAGAUUUUCUAGUAAAAAUGCCUUCGCUAGGCGUUCUCAUUUUCCUUCCUCAGCGUUUUGAUAGUCGGUGACUCUUUUCCUCACUUUCCCUUCCAACUCCAGUAGACUAUAUUCUAGAUAUUCCAGCUUUUCACUAGCCCUGGUGACUCUCUCUUUCCAUUCGUUGAUUUGGUUACUUGAUGGGAGGUUCCUCCACCAGGUCAGCAAGAGUAAGGGUAUGUUGACCAUACCAAAGUCGGGAACUUUGUCUUUCAUUUCUGCAAAACAAAAGGGUGAGGCCAUACUUCUGACAGAUUCGCCUAUUAAAUAUCAACAAUUAGCAUGAGCAGCAUUUAGUUCUCCAAAUAAAUGCACAGACAUGGUAGUGUUCAUUUGGGUUUCAAGGGAACCCAGUGGACUUUGGACAAGGCUAUCUUAAAGAGUCAUUUCAGUGAUGCAUGCACAAUUGAACAGAGUAAGGUUUUUAUGGGGUAUUAGACCAGUACCCUUGAGCGACAACUCAAGAGGGAAAGGCACGGAACCGUCGACUACACCGUUGAUCGACUGGUUUUACCGCAAAUAUGCCUUUACCAAAUUUAGGGGGUGAUAAUAUUGGAAGGGCGCAACCACUCAUUAUAAGCGUAGAUAUGGUAUUUUGUUUGGCACGAGUGGAAUAUGAUAUUGAAUAUGCAAUUACAAGAAUGAAACAAAUUGUCACGUAUUUGCACGUUCAUAAAGUAAUGAUUACAAUAAUUGCUCAUAAUUACAACGACAUUGAAGGAAAGCGGUAAAAGAAAGCACUAAAAAAAGAAACAAAGAGCCAAGUCAGUUUCAUAACAGAAAAGAGGUAAAGACAUUAAAUAAAGGUAAUAAAGAAGCAGUGAAGUCACAAGUAACAUGAGAUGGUAAAAGCCUAAAGAAGUCCCCAGUAGAGUCGUCAUGCUGUCGCGCCCCUUUUUUCUAAAAGAGAAAUCGGGUUCAUGACAUUUGGGAGGACAACUCGUUCCCUCUUGGGAAUUGGGUUUUUUGGGUUGAAGAGUCUCCACCUAAUGAUUAAAGUGCAUUAGGACACUAAAGAAGAGUUCGAGUUGGAAAACCAGAGUUCGGGUAAGGGCUAGAAAUUAUCUCGAGGGGAAGGUGUUAGGCACCCCCCAAAAUCCACUAGUGUGGUUCCCGGCCAUGUUACAAUUGUGACUUUAACUAACAAGUAACCAAAUAAAGGUCUCAAAUAUAAGGGGAUUUACACAUAAUGUUGCAAGUGAAUUGAAAGUUUGAAGAAAGAUAAAGAAAACAGAAAUCUUAAGCAAAUAGUCUGGACAGUUUAAAAGGGAUAACAAGUAAAGGGGAAGGGGUCCUAGGUUUACAAACAAUGUGGAUCACAUCAAUGCAAUACCCGACAAUCACUCCUCAGAAGAGGGGUCGCACGUGGUAUUAGCGCACCGAUCAUCAUGUCCAUAUCUACCCUUUCCCACCCCGUUAAGGUAUUAAACGCGGAAUAGUGUCGUUACUUAUUACAUGCUAGUACCUGUCCCGAUCCUAUCAGUCCCGAAGGCAUUUGGGACUACUAGUCCUAAAGGGAGGGAGGUUGGGGUUUUUUUCCAGAGUUUUAAAAGGACAAAAUUCUAAUGCGACAAACAAAACACAUAAGCAAGUAGGGGAAACAAAUAGGAGUUUAAGGGCUCAAACAUGCCUCCUCACUUAAAGGAGCAAAUUAUUUAGCAUGACUUCAAAUACUGGUUAUAGUCUGAAUUAAAUUUAAAGCGUUAGGACAUGCUGCUUCAUCACAUAUUUCUCAGAUGAGGAGCCCGAAUUAGGCCUUGUCUGGUUGCAGUUUAUUAAAACUGACACAGUUAAACAAUUACCUACUGCUUGCCUAGGUGGAAGUAUACUGAUUUUAAAGAAGGGUUACUGAUUUUAGAACCAAUUAAAUUCUUUAGAUAUUAAACAAACAUUACUACUGAUUUAGACAUAUAGAUAAAAUAGAUGAAUCAGAUUCAGACGGCUGCUCCUAUAUGCAUGAUUUCUAAGCGUUAUUGAUUUUAAAACGAUUAUGUAAGUGCAUGAGCCCUAUAGGCAUGGUAUCUAGAAUGAAGUUGAUUAUUAUUACACCUAUGAUUGUUUGCCUAACGACAGAUGAAUAUGCAGAAGUGCAGAAAACUAUAGCCAUGACUUCUAUAUGCAGAAACUUAUAGGCAUGGUUUCUAAUGCAGUAAUGAAACAACUCAUAGGCAAGAUAUCUACGUGUAAUGCAUAACUUAUAGGCAGGAUUGCUAAAUGCAUAAGUGCAGAAACUUAUACAUGAUUUCUAUAUGCAGAAACUUAUAGGCAUGGUUUCUAAUGUAAUAAUGAGACGACUUAUAGGCAUGAGUACUAUAUGAUAUGCAUAAAUGCAGAAUUUGUAAGUAGUAAUCCCUAUGAGCAUGAUGUCUACCCAUAUACAUAUAUAAAUGACCCUCCCCUUUUUCACUAGAACCCCAUAAUUGUUACAAAUUAUUAUAGACCCGAAUGAAUCAAAAAGAAAUACAUCAGAACUUCCAGCUACAACCAAACAACCUAAUUCAGACUCAAGGUCUAGCAAUAUGAGAUAAACGCACUUUCAGGAUCCGUUUUCCAAAAGCCUUUCUCUUAUUUGGGAUGUGUUAAAGUUCCCAAGAGUCUCAAGGGGACUCAGGGCAAUGCUUACACCCCAAACACAUUGCAGAAUUGGAAGAGUCAGCCCUCAAAUGUCCAAAUUCAGAGGGAACUCAGGGUCCUAAAGCAUGGCUCAUAAGAGGGGGACAGAACUUAGAAUCUAAGAGUAAGUGUAUGUGCAUAGAGGGGAAUUAGGGAAGGCCAUGGUAGGCUGGUGGUCAUGCCCAGCAAUUUAAAAGUGCUGGCACACCUCUGACUAGCCUGUCA
rnacentral:lncRNA from 1 species